UACGGGGGGGGCAAGCGUUGUUCGGAAUUACUGGGCGUAAAGGGUUUGUAGGUGGCUUGCUAAGUCAGACGUGAAAUCCCUCAGCUUAACUGGGGAACUGCGUCUGAGACUGCGAGCUAGUGCAGGAGAGGACGCGGAAUUCCAGGUGUAGCGGUGGAAUACGUAGAUAUCCGGAGGAACACCAGCGGCGAAGGCGGCUUCUGGUCUGAUGACUGACGCUGAGGCGCGAAAGCGUGGGGAGCGA
rnacentral:rRNA from 1 species